rnacentral:rRNA from 1 species
CGGAUAGAGAGGGGCCUAUGGUCUAUCAGCUAGUUGGUGAGGCAAUGGCCCACCAAGGCAAUGACGGAUACCGGGUGUGAGAGCAUGACCCGGCUCAAUGGGACUGAGACACUGCCCGGACUCCUACGGGAGGCUGCAGUUGAGAAUCUUUCCCAAUGGACGAAAGUCUGAGGAUGCGACGCCGCGUGGAGGAUGAAGGCCUUCGGGUUGUAAACUCAUUUUAUUAAGGAGGAACGUUAUUAGGUUAAUAGCCUUUUAAUCUGACUGUACUUAAUGAAUAAGUCACGGCUAACUCCGUGCCAGCAGCCGCGGUAAUACGGAGGUGGCAAGCGUUACUCGGUUUGACUGGGUGUAAAGGGUCCGCAGGCGGCUUUACAAGUGAAAGGUGAAAUCUUUCGGCUCAACCGAAAAAUUGCCUUUCAAACUGUAUGGCUUGAGGAUGGAAGAGGAGAGUGGAACUGUCGGUGUAAAGGUGAAAUUUGUGCAGAUCGGCAGGAACGCCCGUGGAGAAGUCGGCUCUCUGGUCCAUAUCUGACGCUCCGGGAACAAAGCUACGGGAGCCACAGGAUUAAUA